GGAUGCGAUCAUACUAGCACUAAAGUAUCGGGUCCCGUCAGAACUCCGAAGUUAAGCGUGUCAGAACUCCGAAGUUAAGCAUGCUUGGGCGAGAGUAGUACUAGGAUGGGUGACCUCCUGGGAAGUCCUCGUGUUGCAUUUC
rnacentral:rRNA from 1 species